UGGGGAAUUUUGGACAAUGGGGGAAACCCUGAUCCAGCCAUCCCGCGUGUGCGAUGAAGGCCUUCGGGUUGUAAAGCACUUUUGGCAGGAAAGAAACGUCGCGGGUUAAUACCCCGCGAAACUGACGGUACCUGCAGAAUAAGCACCGGCUAACUACGUGCCAGCAGCCGCGGUAAUACGUAGGGUGCAAGCGUUAAUCGGAAUUACUGGGCGUAAAGCGUGCGCAGGCGGUUCGGAAAGAAAGAUGUGAAAUCCCAGAGCUUAACUUUGGAACUGCAUCUUUAACUACCGGGCUAGAGUGUGUCAGAGGGAGGUGGAAUUCCGCGUGUAGCAGUGAAAUGCGUAGAUAUGCGGAGGAACACCGAUGGCGAAGGCAGCCUCCUGGGAUAACACUGACGCUCAUGCACGAAAGCGUGGGGAGCAAACAGGAUUAGAUACCCUGGUAGUCCACGCCCUAAACGAUGUCAACUAGCUGUUGGGGCCUUCGGGCCUUGGUAGCGCAGCUAACGCGUGAAGUUGACCGCCUGGGGAGUACGGUCGCAAGAUUAAAACUUAAAUGAAUUGACGGGGUCAUAGCUGUUUCCUG
rnacentral:rRNA from 1 species